UUUGAUCCCUGGGCUCAGGAUGAACGCUGGCGGCGUGCCUAAUACAUGCAAGUCGAGCGAAUGGAUUAAGAGCUUGCUCUUAUGAAGUUAGCGGCGGACGGGUGAGUAACACGUGGGUAACCUGCCCAUAAGACUGGGAUAACUCCGGGAAACCGGGGCUAAUACCGGAUAACAUUUUGAACCGCAUGGUUCGAAAUUGAAAGGCGGCUUCGGCUGUCACUUAUGGAUGGACCCGCGUCGCAUUAGCUAGUUGGUGAGGUAACGGCUCACCAAGGCAACGAUGCGUAGCCGACCUGAGAGGGUGAUCGGCCACACUGGGACUGAGACACGGCCCAGACUCCUACGGGAGGCAGCAGUAGGGAAUCUUCCGCAAUGGACGAAAGUCUGACGGAGCAACGCCGCGUGAGUGAUGAAGGCUUUCGGGUCGUAAAACUCUGUUGUUAGGGAAGAACAAGUGCUAGUUGAAUAAGCUGGCACCUUGACG
rnacentral:rRNA from 1 species